rnacentral:rRNA from 1 species
UACGGGGGGGGCAAGCGUUGUUCGGAAUUACUGGGCGUAAAGCGCACGUAGGCGGCCUUCUAAGUCGAACGUGAAAUCCCCGGGCUCAACCCGGGAACUGCGUCCGAUACUGGAAGGCUUGAAUCCGGGAGAGGGAUGCGGAAUUCCAGGUGUAGCGGUGAAAUGCGUAGAUAUCUGGAGGAACACCGGUGGCGAAGGCGGCAUCCUGGACCGGUAUUGACGCUGAGGCGCGAAAGCCAGGGGAGCAACCGGG